UACGUAGGGUGCGAGCGUUAAUCGGAAUUACUGGGCGUAAAGCGUGCGCAGGCGGCUUUGCAAGACAGAUGUGAAAUCCCCGGGCUCAACCUGGGAACUGCAUUUGUGACUGCAAAGCUGGAGUGUGGCAGAGGGGGAUGGAAUUCCGCGUGUAGCAGUGAAAUGCGUAGAUAUGCGGAGGAACACCGAUGGCGAAGGCAAUCCCCUGGGCCUGCACUGACGCUCAUGCACGAAAGCGUGGGGAGCAAACAGG
rnacentral:rRNA from 1 species